rnacentral:tRNA from 1 species
GGGGAUUUAGCUCAAUGAUAGAGCGCUUGCCUAGCAAGCACAAGGCCCUGGGUUCGCUCCCCAGCUCUG